rnacentral:rRNA from 1 species
AUUGAACGCUGGCGGCAUGCCUUACACAUGCAAGUCGAACGGUAACAGGUCUUCGGAUGCUGACGAGUGGCGAACGGGUGAGUAAUACAUCGGAACGUGCCUAGUAGUGGGGGAUAACUACUCGAAAGAGUGGCUAAUACCGCAUGAGAUCUACGGAUGAAAGCAGGGGAUCGCAAGACCUUGUGCUACUAGAGCGGCCGAUGGCAGAUUAGGUAGUUGGUGGGAUAAAAGCUUACCAAGCCGACGAUCUGUAGCUGGUCUGAGAGGUCGAUCAGCCACACUGGGACUGAGACACGGCCCAGACUCCUACGGGAGGCAGCAGUGGGGAAUUUUGGACAAUGGGCGAAAGCCUGAUCCAGCAAUGCCGCGUGCAGGGUGAAGGCCUUCGGGUUGUAAACUGCUUUUGUACGGAACGAAAAGCCCCGGGUUAAUACCCUGGGGUCAUGACGGUACCGUAAGAAUAAGCACCGGCUAACUACGUGCCAGCAGCCGCAGUAA